rnacentral:lncRNA from 1 species
AGAACAGAGCACUCUGACCUAUUUCAAAAUGGUUCCUUUUCCCUUCUCCUUGCAGGAAGCAGGAAGGGAUUUUUUUCUCACAUAUUUACUGUGCGAACCUGGCCGAGCUCCUGGAGAUAUAUCUCACAGUAUUGUGGGGAGCCCUCUUAUGACUGCCUCUUCCUGGAGUUUUUAAUUCUCAGAGUUGUAUACCCUGAGCCUUCAGCAACUUGUCGAUUAUAGCUCCAGUUUUUCUAUUCUGUACUUGUUCCAAUGGGAGUUUCUGCUGUUGAGUCUCUGCUUUGUUUGAAAUAAUUUCAAGCCUACAAAUAGUCCUGAGAAUUAUCAAAGAAAUACAAACCAGCCUUUCAGAAUCUGGAUAAACUAUGAAAUCCUGCAUUAUACAGAAUGUCAAACAGACAUAAAAGCCAGCAGAGCAUCAACUGUGGAGCUUAGGAAUCAUCUCAGAAAGAAGUUUACAAUGAAAAUCUUGCUGAGUCCAGAGUCUGAAAGAACUGAAGACUACGGUCGUUUUGACCACAGGAGGAGUCAUUGUCUGAGCCAAAGGACCAUGGGGGCAACUUUGAACCAGGAUAAGUACGAAAGUUGACUAAUACUCAAACUGAUGAGGAGCUCCCUAGCUGCUUUCACCACUGCGGGUACAACAAGAAGUCUGCAACUCAGAAGAGGGCCAUCACCUGACCAUGUCGGCACCCUGAUCUUGGACUUCCCAGCCCCCAGAACACUUCCCAGAGGUGAAAACAUUCUUGCAGUCUUGAUUAAGGAAUGCAGAUCUUUACACAAUGGUUACUUUAAAUGUUUCGACUGCAAGAAACAGAAUUUUCAAACUCAAAAUUGAUUAUGCUAUAGAAAAAAUUUAUCUCAAUGAGAAAUCCAAAAUCAUGCUGAGUGCUAGGAUCUUGGCCUCUGGAUUUGUCUGCCUCAAUAGUUCUCCAGGCCCAUCAACCAGGGGCUGGCCCCGUGGCCGAGUGGUUAAGUUCAUGCGCUCCGCUGCAGGCGGCCCAGUGAUUCGUCGGUUCGAAUCCUGGGCGCGGACAUGGCACUGCUCGUCAGACCACGCUGAGGCAGCGUCCAACAUGCCACAACUAGAGGAACCCACAAUGAAGAAUACACAACUAUGUACCGGGGGGCUUUGGGGAGAAAAAGGAAAAAAUAAAAAAAAAUCUUUAUAAAAAAAAAAAA